rnacentral:misc_RNA from 1 species
AGGCUCGUCCUGUUACUAUCUAUUUUACUGUGAACUGUUUUAUUUUACAGCGUUUGAGGGAUGUUCUUGUGUUAUAUGGGUAGGCAUAAGAAAUGUUAACCGAGCUGUAAUCAGGCUUAGGCUUGGUACCCUGUUUAUAUACUUUCAAUUGAUCAGAUUUUAAAAUGUAACAUAGAGUAAAAUCUAUAAAACAACUUUUAACAACGGAUCUCUUGGCUUUUGCAUCGAUGAAGAACGUAGCAAAUUGCGAUAACUAGUGUGAAUUGCAAAUUCAGUGAAUCAUCGAGUCUUUGAACGCAUCUUGCGCUCAUUGGUAUUCCAGUGAGCACGCCUGUUUCAGUAUCAAAAACAACCCUCAUUCAAAUUUUUUUUUGAAUGGUCAUGAAGGAAGCUACUUGUUGGCGACCUUUUAAAUUGAGUAAGGCCUGAAUUUGUUUAUCUAGCCUGAACUUUUUUUUAAUAUAAAGGAAAGCUCUUGCGACUUGAACUUUGUUGGGGCCUCCCAAAUAAAGCUUUUUC